rnacentral:rRNA from 1 species
UACGGAGGGGGCAAGCGUUGUUCGGAAUGACUGGGCGUAAAGGGCGCGUAGGCGGACGGCUUAGUCAGGCGUGAAAGGCCUGGGCUUAACCUGGGGACUGCGUUUGAUACGGGUUGUCUUGAGUGGGGAAGAGGGUCGUGGAAUUCCCAGUGUAGAGGUGAAAUUCGUAGAUAUUGGGAAGAACACCGGUGGCGAAGGCGGCGACCUGGUCCUUGACUGACGCUGAGGCGCGAAAGCGUGGGGAGCAAACAGG